CUACGGUGCUGAAGCAACAAAUGCCCUGCUUCCAGGAAAAGCCUCUAAGCCUCAGGUAACAUCAGAUCGUACCCGAAACCGACACAGGUGGUCAGGUAGAGAAUACCAAGGCGCUUGAGAGAACCCGGGUGAAGGAACUAGGCAAAAUGGUGCCGUAACUUCGGGAGAAGGCACGCUGACACGUAGGUGAAGCGGUUUACCCGUGGAGCUGAAGUCAGUCGAAGAUACCAGCUGGCUGCAACUGUUUAUUAAAAACACAGCACUGUGCAAACACGAAAGUGGACGUAUACGGUGUGACGCCUGCCCGGUGCCGGAAGGUUAAUUGAUGGGGUCAGCGCAAGCGAAGCUCCUGAUCGAAGCCCCGGUAAACGGCGGCCGUAACUAUAACGGUCCUAAGGUAGCGAAAUUCCUUGUCGGGUAAGUUCCGACCUGCACGAAUGGCGUAAUGAUGGCCAGGCUGUCUCCACCCGGGACUCAGUGAAAUUGAACUCGCUGUGAAGAUGCAGUGUACCCGCGGCAAGACGGAAAGACCCCGUGAACCUUUACUAUAGCUUGACACUGAACACUGGUCCUUGAUGUGCAGGAUAGGUGGGAGGCUUUGAAGUGUGGACGCCAGUCUGCAUGGAGCCGUCCUUGAAAUACCACCCUUUAAUGGCUGGUGUUCUAACGUAGACCCGUGAACCGGGUUGCGGACAGUGUCUGGUGGGUAGUUUGACUGGGGCGGUCUCCUCCUAAAGCGUAACGGAGGAGCACGAAGGUUGGCUAAUCCUGGUCGGACAUCAGGAGGUUAGUGCAAUGGCAUAAGCCAGCUUGACUGCGAGCGUGACGGCGCGAGCAGGUGCGAAAGCAGGUCAUAGUGAUCCGGUGGUUCUGAAUGGAAGGGCCAUCGCUCAACGGAUAAAAGGUACUCCGGGGAUAACAGGCUGAUACCGCCCAAGAGUUCAUAUCGACGGCGGUGUUUGGCACCUCGAUGUCGGCUCAUCACAUCCUGGGGCUGAAGUAGGUCCCAAGGGUAUGGCUGUUCGCCAUUUAAAGUGGUACGCGAGCUGGGUUUAGAACGUCGUGAGACAGUUCGGUCCCUAUCUGCCGUGGGCGCUGGAGAACUGAGGGGGGCUGCUCCUAGUACGAGAGGACCGGAGUGGACGCAUCACUGGUGUUCGGGUUGUCAUGCCAAUGGCACUGCCCGGUAGCUAAAUGCGGAAGAGAUAAGUGCUGAAAGCAUCUAAGCACGAAACUUGCCCCGAGAUGAGUUCUCCCUGAGACUACAAGUCUCCUGAAGGAACGUUGAAGACGACGACGUUGAUAGGCCGGGUGUGUAAGCGCAGCGAUGCGUUGAGCUAACCGGUACUAAUGAACCGUGAGGCUUAACCUUACA
rnacentral:rRNA from 1 species